GUAAAAUUUACGGUACCUGUGGUUAUCGACGCAGUCCAUGUCAGCCAAUCGUGAAGCGUGCUAUUGCUAUAGUAUAACCAAAAUUCGUAUCUAGUGCCAGGAAGUCCGUCCUUGAAUUUGAUCACAUCACCGAUGUCGGUAGCGGCUAUGGUGGUAUUCGGUGGCGGAUAACCAACGGCAGGACUGUAGUCCAAACGAUACCAGGAACCGCCUUGACUCAAGUUUCCUGGUAUCUCAAUCGCGAGAUCCGCCGAAUACUGUAUACCGCACAGUGUUCACGGUAUGCCGGAAGCGGUGAGACAGACGUGGGAAAGA
rnacentral:misc_RNA from 1 species